rnacentral:rRNA from 1 species
UACCGCGGCUGCUGGCACGGAGUUAGCCGGUGCUUAUUCUUCAGGUACAUUCAAACACGUAUCGCGUACGUGCGGCUAUUCCCUGAUAAAAGCAGUUUACAACCCAUAAGGCUGUCAUCCUGCACGCGGCAUGGCUGGGUCAGACUUGCGUCCAUUGCCCAAUAUUCCUUACUGCUGCCUCCCGUAGGAGUCUGGUCCGUGUCUCAGUACCAGUGUGGGGGAUAGUCCUCUCAGAACCCCUAGCCAUCAUAGCCUUGGUGAGCUGUUACCUCACCAACUAGCUAAUGGCACGCAUGCCCAUCUUUAACCGCCGGAGCUUUAAUCUAAAAAUCAUGUAACUUAUAGAUGCUAUGGGACAUUAAUUCCGAUUUCUCGGAGCUAUUCCCCUGUUAAAGGUAGGUUGCAUACGCGUUACUCACCCGUGCGCCACUCUCAUUGGAUAUUGCUACCCAAAUCCCGUUCGACUUGCAUGUAUUAGGCCUGCCGCUAGCGUUCAUCCUGAGCCAUGAUCAAACUC